CGUGUGUGAAGAAGGCCUUCGGGUUGUAAAGCACUUUUGUCCGGAAAGAAANCNCUNGGGNUAAUACNGGGGGNGGAUGACGGUACCGGAAGAAUAAGCACCGGCUAACUACGUGCCAGCAGCCGCGGUAAUACGUAGGGUGCGAGCGUUAAUCGGAAUUACUGGGCGUAAAGCGUGCGCAGGCGGUUUUGUAAGACAGGCGUGAAAUCCCCGAGCUCAACUUGGGAAUKGCGCUUGUGACUGCAAGGCUAGAGUAUGUCAGAGGGGGGUAGAAUUCCACGUGUAGCAGUGAAAUGCGUAGAGAUGUGGAGGAAUACCGAUGGCGAAGGCAGCCCCCUGGGACGUCACUGACGCUCAUGCACGAAAGCGUGGGGAGCAAACAGGAUUAGAUACCCUGGUAGUCCACGCCCUAAACGAUGUCAACUAGUUGUUGGGGAUUCAUUUCUUCAGUAACGUAGCUAACGCGUGAAGUUGACCGCCUGGGGAGUACGGUCGC
rnacentral:rRNA from 1 species